AUAUCUCUCUGUACGGGAAGGAUGAGAAGCUUCGACUAAGGUUCGAUUCGAGCUCAGCGAGAAAGCGUUGCCGCAGGCAACGACCCGAAGGGCGAAGCGCGCAGCGCUGAGUCAUCCUUCCCCCACCACCA
rnacentral:sRNA from 1 species